rnacentral:snRNA from 1 species
AUGAGGAACUAGCAACAGAGACUAAGAAGGGACAGCCAAGGCAUAUCCAUCAGACUGCAGAUAUGCUGACCCCUGCGAUUUCCCCAAAUGUGGGAAACCCGACUGCAUAAUUUGUAGUAGUUGGGGACUGUGUACACACUCUCCCCUA